AUGCUAUUUGAUGAUAUUGGCUCGGUCCUGGAGUUUUAUAGGACAUAUGCACACAAUGUUGGAUUUGGUGUACGUCUUGGUCAGCAAAAGGUCACCAAUAAUGUGCUUCAAUGGAAGCGCUUCUUGUGUGCAAAAGAAGGCUUUCGGCCUGAGAAAGGUAUGGUUGUUGUUGACCCUUCAAAGAAAAGGAGAAAGGCUCAGGUGCUUGCUGCAAGGGAUGAUUGUGAUGUUCAAAACACAACAAAUGGUGAGGGUAUUAAAGUAAUGUUUGUUAGCGACCAAUACAACAAGAUUAGAGAAGUGUGUUAUGAUACAACAACCAUGGUUGCUAAGUGUUCUUGCAAGCUUUUCGAGUCCAAAGGAAUUGUGUGCCACCACAUUAUCCGAGUACUGAGGGGUGCAAAAAUAAAUGAAUUACCUAGACUUUAUGUUCUCAAGCGGUGGGAGAAAAAUUGCAAAAGGGACAUUAUGUUUGAUGUGGAAGGAAACGUACUUGAAGAGAAUUUCAUUGACCCAGUUGACAUGGCUGUGAGAAGAAAGAUAUUUGCUGUCAGGAAUAAGCUAGAAGAUCUCAUACGGACUGCUAAGUGCUCCAUGGAAGGAGUUGAAUUUCUCCACACCAGCUUGUGCAAGGCUGAGUUGGGUUUGAGGCAGCUAGUACUGGUCGUACCAUGCGAUACGCAAGAAAAUGAGGAGUCAUUUAUUGGUAGCAUCAUUCCAAAGGACGUCACCAUCCUCACACCUAUUGAUAUCAAUGCAAGGGGCACAUGCUCUAGAAUAAAGGGGCACAGGGAUGGUGUGAGGGGUGGAUCUGGUGACAAGAAAAGAAGGCCGGGAAUUCAUCAAAAAGUCGCACGCAAAUGCAGCAUUUGUUUGUUCUAG
rnacentral:rRNA from 1 species